AAGAAAGUGGCAGAUUGGUAAUGUGUCCGGCUUGAAACCGGCCUAAGGGGGUUCGAUUCCUUCCUUUCUCG
rnacentral:tRNA from 1 species